rnacentral:rRNA from 1 species
GCAAUGCCGCGUGCAGGAUGAAGGCCUUCGGGUUGUAAACUGCUUUUGUACGGAACGAAACGGUGAGCUCUAAUACAGCUUGCUAAUGACGGUACCGUAAGAAUAAGCACCGGCUAACUACGUGCCAGCAGCCGCGGUAAUACGUAGGGUGCGAGCGUUAAUCGGAAUUACUGGGCGUAAAGCGUGCGCAGGCGGUGAUGUAAGACAGAUGUGAAAUCCCCGGGCUCAACCUGGGACCUGCAUUUGUGACUGCAUCGCUAGAGUACGGUAGAGGGGGAUGGAAUUCCGCGUGUAGCAGUGAAAUGCGUAGAUAUGCGGAGGAACACCGAUGGCGAAGGCAAUCCCCUGGACCUGUACUGACGCUCAUGCACGAAAGCGUGGGGAGCAAACAGGAUUAGAUACCCUGGUAGUCCACGCCCUAAACGAUGUCAACUG